GAUUUGAGAAUUGCAGAGGAAGAGAUGAAAAGCAAUACCCCCUGCCUCAGCCAUGAAGCCUUCACUAUAGAAACAACACAUGUGCCGAUGGUCCCCUGGAAUGACCUCUCUGUUCAGGCCAUCACAGUCCAUUUGGUCCUGCCAACCUGAUGCCCAAGUCCAACAGAUGGAAGGAAGGAAGAGAAAGCUGAGAUGCAGAUCUCAGAUUGACAACUUCUUGGCUAUUGGAAACCAGAAGAAAAGAGUCAUGUAAAGAGGUUACUCGAGAGAAACAGCAACCCAAGUUAGAGGGACAGAGCCAGCACAAAGACCACAUCACAAGGAGGAACAAAUACCCCAACGACCUUCUUCUCUUUCUACCCCAUCUCAUGCCCGCUUUCCCCAUUGUUGUAGUUCAUGCAGAUUGGCUUCUCAGGCGAGAGAACAGGGUGAGGAAAGCUGGAGAGUGAAUCUGGAGGCAAGCUAAAGGCAUCCACCUAUCAACAAUCUGCCAAUCUGCCUAUAUCUACCCCUCAUCCACCUGCUCCCCACCUCUUUGCUCUACGUAGUCAAGACUGACUUAUUUGAGUGAGAGUAAGUCAGAAAUAAACUGGAAAGUAUUCAGCCCC